GACUUCAUCAGGCACUGCUAUCAUGGGGCACUGGUAACAAAUAAAUAUCACUUUGGAGGCCAUGUGCAGAUCAGAUUUGGAAGUGACCAAGACUGGAGGCAGGGACACCAGAGUUUUCUGUUAAAAACUGGUCCAUGCAAGAAAAGAUGACUCCUGAAAUAAGACAGUGAUCAUUAGGAUGAAGAGGAAGAGAAGAUUUGAGGAAUACUUAGAACAGAAUUUACUGAAUUUACUGGUUGAAUUGAAUGUGAAGAGGAGAUGAAUAAAGAAGAAAACACCCUCAAAGGAAAUCAAGGGAUUUCUCCUCAUUAGAAGGAAUUGCCCUAGGAGUAAGAAUUUAUCCCUUUCCACUUUCAGAGUCCCCUCUGAGCAUACACUAUACAGCAAACAUUGGAUGAAGAAUGUGUAUUUUCAGUUUCAGAAGCUGAACAAAUAUGAAACAAUCUCUGGAAAAUGGAAUUUGAUUUUGAUUCAACAACAGGAGAAUUCUACUGUUUUUCUCCAGCAGCUCCACGAUAAAAGGGAACCCUGAGCAGAACACAUGCACAAACUCAUGCCAUACCCUAAGGGACAAGGUUCCCCACAUCUACUUGGAAAUCUUUGGGAUGCUCAAUGGACAGUUGCUCUGAUUCAUUUCUGGACUUCAGUGGAAGAAGCAGCCCUUAUUUAGGAUAUUGUUAGUCUUUGGCAGAGGGAAUACAAAGCAAUGGAAGGGUGAUGUGAUGGCUCCGAAAGCUUCUGUUGGAUGUAGAAUAUAAAGUUUGCUCACCUUUUUUAAUCCAAAGAGAAAAACAAGGAGAGAAAAAUCUAAACCCAGCAGAAGAGAAAGUUUAAGAAAGCGGUCGUCGCCAAUACCAAAAUUAGCUAUGAUAUUCAGGAAGAAAAAAAUGGAAACACGAUAACCACAGUCAAUAAAGACCAAGGCCACAUUCCAUUGACCAGAGCUCAGCCACGCGCCACACCUGGCUAAAGAGACUCUGGCUGAAGAAUUCCCUGAAUAUUUUAAUGUAGCUCUAGGUUAUAACACAGAACAACCACAAGGUGGCAGAAGAACUCCAUUCUUGUAAAUCUCUUAGUUGCUUCUUUAUUUCAUCUUCCCUAUUCCAUCUAAUGUUCCCUGAAUUUUACUAUUUUGUUGGUUUGAAAAUAUGUGUGACUUACGUCCUUUAAAGGAUUUGGUUCGUAAGGUUUUGAAUAGACUGGAAUAUAAAACAUUUAUAGAAAAGAAAAAUACCUACAGUAUGAUGUUAGUGAACUAUUAAUAAUCCAAUUAAAUAAAAUAUAUUUGCUUUGGA
rnacentral:lncRNA from 1 species